AAAUCUCAGAGACGAUUCAUUCUUCACCACUCCCUCUUCACUUCACUCUCUCAUUACUCUUUCUCUCUCUCUCACCACCAUCUAACCACCGUAACAAACCCAAACAAACUCCUCCAACCUCCAUAACCAACCACCUCAAUCUUUAUCCUUCUUCAACUCCUCUUAUCUUCGAUCAACACCACAAAAUCUUCAUCAAUACCUCCAUCCUCUUCGCAAGCAUUGUCACCUAUCAAGAUUCAAGUCCGAAGUUUCCACAAAUUCAAGCUAACCUCUCCAAGUUCUCUCUGCUCCGCCUCGGAUCAUAUCCAUCAUCAGCGUCAAGACUCAGAGAUUCAAGGAGAAAGCAGCGUUGUAAGAAGUUUUCUGAAGAUCUGAGUUUCAUAUUCUUCACCAAUUGGCUACACAAAAAUGAGGCAACUUCAUCAUUCAUCACCACCUCAAGGUGCAAUUGCUCCAUUUGCCGCUCUCCCGCCUGAGUUCAUCUUCCCUUCGAUUUACUUUGGAGAUGGAAGUAUCCGCAGAUCGGAUCCAUUGCCGAUCAUUCUAUCUGUAUUCGCGGGACUGUUAGUUAUCCUAAUAGUAGUGGGGAUACUUCUAAGGAAGUAUUUUACUGUAACACCACCACCAGUCUCCGUUAACCAGACCCCACUAGGAGUGCCCGUGCCCGUGCCGAUGGAAACAUGGGUAUCGUACCGACUUCAGGGUAAUAACGAAACCGUGCCUGCGCCUUAGGACUUUAUUAUAGUAUAGAGUAGGGGUGUUCAAAAAUAUAGUUAAUUGAAUUGUAUACUAGAACUGGACUGAAUUGCACCAUAAAAAACCCGAACCACUUAAAUGGUUAAUGAACUGAACUAUUUAAUUUAAACAGUUCAAAUUCAAUUUAGAACCGGUUCAAAACCAGUUUCCUUUUAUAAACUGGU